CGUAGUUUGAUCCGUGGCUCGAGGAUGAACGCUAGCGGNAGGCUUAACACAUGCAAGUCGAGGGGUAUAGUUCUUCGGAACUAGAGACCGGCGCACGGGGUGCGUAACGCGUAUGCAAUCUACCUUUUACAGAGGGAUAGCCCAGAGAAAUUUGGAUUAAUACCUCAUAGUAUGUGAGAAUCGCAUUGGUUUUUCACAUUAAAGUUCCAACGGUAAAAGAUGAGCAUGCGUCCCAUUAGCUAGAUGGUAAGGUAACGGCUUACCAAGGCUACGAUGGGUAGGGGUCCUGAGAGGGAGAUCCCCCACACUGGUACUGAGACACGGACCAGACUCCUACGGGAGGCAGCAGUGAGGAAUAUUGGUCAAUGGGCGCAAGCCUGAACCAGCCAUGCCGCGUGCAGGAUGACGGUCCUAUGGAUUGUAAACUGCUUUUGUACAGGAAGAAACACUCCCUCGUGAGGGAGCUUGACGGUACUGUAAGAAUAAGGAUCGGCUAACUCCGUG
rnacentral:rRNA from 1 species